UACGAAGGGGGCUAGCGUUGUUCGGAAUUACUGGGCGUAAAGCGCACGUAGGCGGAUUUGUAAGUUGGGGGUGAAAUCCCUGGGCUCAACCCAGGAACUGCCUUCAAGACUGCAAGUCUAGAGAUCAGGAGAGGCGAGUGGAAUACCGAGUGUAGAGGUGAAAUUCGUAGAUAUUCGGUGGAACACCAGUGGCGAAGGCGACUCGCUGGACUGAUACUGACGCUGAGGUGCGAAAGCGUGGGGAGCAAACAGG
rnacentral:rRNA from 1 species